AGGGUUUGAUUCUGGCUCAGGACGAACGCUGGCGGCACGCCUAACACAUGCAAGUCGAACGGACUUAAAAGAGCUUGCUUUUUUAAGUUAGUGGCGGACGGGUGAGUAACACGUGAGCAACCUGCCUCUGAGAGGGGGAUAGCUUCUGGAAACGGAUGGUAAUACCCCAUAAAAUAUAAAUAUCGCAUGAUAGAUAUAUCAAAGAAAUUCGCUCAGAGAUGGGCUCGCGUCUGAUUAGAUAGUUGGUGAGGUAACGGCUCACCAAGUCGACGAUCAGUAGCCGGACUGAGAGGUUGAACGGCCACAUUGGGACUGAGACACGGCCCAG
rnacentral:rRNA from 1 species